CAGUCGCCACGGUAAUACGGAGGGUGCAAGCGUUAAUCGGAAUUACUGGGCGUAAAGCGCACGCAGGCGGUCUGACAAGUCAGAUGUGAAAUCCCCGGGCUUAACCUGGGAACUGCAUUUGAAACUGUCAGGCUGGAGUCUUGUAGAGGGGGGUGGAAUUCCAGGUGUAGCGGUGAAAUGCGUAGAGAUCUGGAGAAAUACCGGUGGCGAAGGCGGCCCCCUGGACAAAGACUGACGCUCAGGUGCGAAAGCGUGGGGAGCAAACAGGAUUAGAGACCCCUGUAGUCCCUGUCUCUUAUAC
rnacentral:rRNA from 1 species